GACGAACGCUGGCGGCGUGCCUAAUACAUGCAAGUAGAACGCUGAAGUGAGGAGCUUGCUCUUCUUGGAUGAGUUGCGAACGGGUGAGUAACGCGUAGGUAACCUGCCUUGUAGCGGGGGAUAACUAUUGGAAACGAUAGCUAAUACCGCAUAACAAUGGAUGACACAUGUCAUUUAUUUGAAAGGGGCAAUUGUUCCACUACAAGAUGGACCUGCGUUGUAUUAGCUAGUAGGUGAGGUAAUGGCUCACCUAGGCGACGAUACAUAGCCGACCUGAGAGGGGGAUCGGCCACCUUGGGACUGAGACCCGGCCCAGACUCCUACGGGAGGCAGCAGUAGGGGAUCUUCGGCAAUGGGGGCAACCCUGACCGAGCCACGCCGCGUGAGUGAAGAAGGUUUUCGGAUCGUAAAGCUCUGUUGUAAGUCAAGAACGGGUGUGAGAGUGGAAAGUUCACACUGUGACGGUAGCUUACCAGAAAGGGACGGCUAACUACGUG
rnacentral:rRNA from 1 species